GGGGGUAUGGCUCAGUUGGGAGAGCGCCUCGUUCGCAACGAGGAGGCCGGGGGUUCGAAUCCCCCUAUCUCCACCA
rnacentral:tRNA from 1 species